rnacentral:rRNA from 1 species
GACGAACGCUGGCGGCGUGCUUAACACAUGCAAGUCGAACGGAAAGGCCCUGCUUUUGUGGGGUGCUCGAGUGGCGAACGGGUGAGUAACACGUGAGUAACCUGCCCUUGACUUUGGGAUAACUUCAGGAAACUGGGGCUAAUACCGGAUAGGAGCUCCUGCUGCAUGGUGGGGGUUGGAAAGUUUCGGCGGUUGGGGAUGGACUCGCGGCUUAUCAGCUUGUUGGUGGGGUAGUGGCUUACCAAGGCUUUGACGGGUAGCCGGCCUGAGAGGGUGACCGGGGAGAGGGGGACUGAGGGGCGGCGGGGACGGCUGGGGGAGGCAGGAGGGGGGGAGAGGGCGGAGGGGGCGGAGGGCGGAGGCAGGAACGGGGCGUGGGGGAUGACGGGGUUCGGGGUGGAGACCGCGUGCGCCGGUGAGGAAGCGGGAGUGACGGGAAUGGGUAAAGAAGCACGGGCGAACUACGGG